rnacentral:rRNA from 1 species
GACGAACGCCGGCGGCGUGCUUAACACAUGCAAGUCGAGCGAGAGAAAUUCCUUCGGGAAGGACUCUAGCGUCGGACGGGUGAGUAACACGUGGGUAACUUGCCUCAUAGAGGGGAAUAGCCUUUCGAAAGGAAGAUUAAUACCGCAUAAGAUUGUAGUAUCGCAUGAUGCAGCAAUUAAAGGAGUAAUCCGCUAUGAGAUGGACCCGCGUCGCAUUAGCUAGUUUGUGAGGUAACGGCUCACCAAGGCGACGAUGCGUAGCCGACCUGAGAGGGUGAUCGGCCACAUUGGGACUGAGACACGGCCCAGACUCCUACGGGAGGCAGCAGUGGGGAAUAUUGCACAAUGGGGGAAACCCUGAUGCAGCAACGCCGCGUGAGUGAUGACGGUCUUCGAAUUGUAAAACUCUGUCUUCAGGGACGAUAAUGACGGUACCUGAGGAGGAAGCCACGGCUAACUACGUGCCAGCAGCCGCGGUAA